AGUGUUGUGGCUCAGUGGCAGAGUGCUUGCCUAGCACGUGUGAGGCACUGGGUUUGAUCCUCAGCACCACAU
rnacentral:tRNA from 1 species